rnacentral:lncRNA from 1 species
CCUCCUAAAGAAAAGGAUGUAUAAACUCUGGUCAAGACAGAAGAAAAGUUUAGCAGAAAAUUUGUUUAUGCUGCAGCAAAUUAGAUAAAACCACCUAAACUUUGUGGUCCUAAUUCACCAAAUAUCAAACUCUCCUUACUAGUGAAAACUAGACAUCAAUAUUGAAUGAUGAAUAUGAUCAAACACAUGCACAAAAGUUGUGAAAAAAAGAAAGACAAGAAGGAAGCUUACUUGUUUAUGUCCCUAUAACGAGAUGCAAGGUAUUGCUUGGCAGCAUCAGUCAGUGGUUGGACUGCUUCAGCCAUUAAGACACUGGAGGGAAGCUCUAGAUAAAGCAAAGCAGACUCUGGUGUCAUAGCCAUAUUACGCAGUAGUCGACUGCAAUACCUCAUGCAUGAAGCAACCUCAAAUUUAUCAGCAGCCAUGAGCACAUCAAGCAAGCCAGGAGCUGUAGUAUUAGAUAAAGUACUGCUGUACAUAAAAUUCAGAAGGUCCAUGAGAGCAGCUUCCUCUGUUGAAAAAUAAGACUGGGUGUUACAAGGAUAGUAUAGGACUUGAAAUAUGCACCAAAGUAUCAAAUUUGACAACCAGCUUCAGCAGAAUGAAAAGAGGUUUUUUAUUUUUUUUUUUCAAAUAUCAAACUCUCCUUACUAGUGAAAACUAGACAUCAAUAUUGAAUGAUGAAUAUGAUCAAACACAUGCACAAAAGUUGUGAAAAAAAGAAAGACAAGAAGGAAGCUUACUUGUUUAUGUCCCUAUAACGAGAUGCAAGGUAUUGCUUGGCAGCAUCAGUCAGUGGUUGGACUGCUUCAGCCAUUAAGACACUGGAGGGAAGCUCUAGAUAAAGCAAAGCAGACUCUGGUGUCAUAGCCAUAUUACGCAGUAGUCGACUGCAAU